UAGGGAAUCUUCCGCAAUGGACGCAAGUCUGACGGAGCAACGCCGCGUGAGUGAAGAAGGAUUUCGGUUCGUAAAACUCUGUUGUUAGAGAAGAACAGCGCAUAGAGUAACUGUUAUGCGUGUGACGGUAUCUAACCAGAAAGCCACGGCUAACUACGUGCCAGCAGCCGCGGUAAUACGUAGGUGGCAAGCGUUGUCCGGAUUUAUUGGGCGUAAAGCGAGCGCAGGCGGUCAAUUAAGUCUGAUGUGAAAGCCCGGCUCAACCGGGGAGGGUCAUUGGAAACUGGUUGACUUGAGUGCAGAAGAGGAGAGUGGAAUUCCAUGUGUAGCGGUGAAAUGCGUAGAUAUAUGGAGGAACACCAGUGGCGAAGGCGACUCUCUGGUCUGUAACUGACGCUGAGGCUCGAAAGCGUGGGUAGCAAACAGG
rnacentral:rRNA from 1 species